UACGGAGGGUGCAAGCGUUAUCCGGAUUCACUGGGUUUAAAGGGUGCGUAGGCGGACAGGUAAGUCAGUGGUGAAAUCUCUGGGCUUAACCCAGAAACUGCCGUUGAUACUAUUUGUCUUGAAUAUCCUGGAGGUAGGCGGAAUAUGUCAUGUAGCGGUGAAAUGCUUAGAUAUGACAUAGAACACCGAUAGCGAAGGCAGCUUACUACAGGGUGAUUGACGCUGAGGCACGAAAGCGUGGGGAGCAAACAGG
rnacentral:rRNA from 1 species